rnacentral:tRNA from 1 species
GGCAGCUUGGCCGAGUGGUUAAGGCGACAGACUCGAAAUCUGUUGGGCUCUGCCCGCGCAGGUUCGAAUCCUGCAGCUGUCG